rnacentral:hammerhead_ribozyme from 1 species
AUUCAGUUGACGAGUCCCAAAUAGGACAGAACAUGUGUCCUGGAU